AGAGUUUGAUCAUGGCUCAGGAUGAACGCUGGCGGCGUGCCUAACACAUGCAAGUCGAGCGAUUCUCUUCGGAGAAGAGCGGCGGACGGGUGAGUAACGCGUGGGUAACCUGCCCUGUACACACGGAUAACAUACCGAAAGGUAUGCUAAUACGGGAUAACAUAAGAAAUUCGCAUGUUUUUCUUAUCAAAGCUCCGGCGGUACAGGAUGGACCCGCGUCUGAUUAGCUAGUUGGUGAGGUAACGGCUCACCAAGGCGACGAUCAGUAGCCGACCUGAGAGGGUGAUCGGCCACAUUGGAACUGAGACACGGUCCAGACUCCUACGGGAGGCAGCAGUGGGGAAUAUUGCACAAUGGGCGAAAGCCUGAUGCAGCAACGCCGCGUGAGCGAUGAAGGCCUUCGGGUCGUAAAGCUCUGUCCUCAAGGAAGAUAAUGACGGUACUUGAGGAGGAAGCCCCGGCUAACUACGUGCCAGCAGCCGCGGUAAUACGUAGGGGGCUAGCGUUAUCCGGAUUUACUGGGCGUAAAGGGUGCGUAGGCGGUCUUUUAAGUCAGAAGUGAAAGGCUACGGCUUAACCGUAGUAAGCUUUUGAAACUGGAGGACUUGAGUGCAGGAGAGGAGAGUGGAAUUCCUAGUGUAGCGGUGAAAUGCGUAGAUAUUAGGAGGAACACCAGUAGCGAAGGCGGCUCUCUGGACUGUAACUGACGCUGAGGCACGAAAGCGUGGGGAGCAAACAGGAUUAGAUACCCUGGUAGUCCACGCCGUAAACGAUGAGUACUAGCUGUCGGAGGUUACCCCCUUCGGUGGCGCAGCUAACGCAUUAAGUACUCCGCCUGGGGAGUACGCUCGCAAGAGUGAAACUCAAAGGAAUUGACGG
rnacentral:rRNA from 1 species